rnacentral:rRNA from 1 species
CCUACGGGGGGCAGCAAUUAGGAAUCUUGCGCAAUGGGGGAAACCCUGACGCAGCGACGCCGCGUGCAGGACGAAGGCCUUCGGGUUGUAAAGCUCUGUCAGAGGGGAAGAAAUGCAGGUGGUGAACAACCAUUCUGUUUGACGGUACCCUCAAAGGAAGCACCGGCUAACUCCGUGCCAGCAGCCGCGGUAAUACGGAGGGUGCGAGCGUUGUUCGGAAUUAUUGGGCGUAAAGCGCGUGUAGGCGGUUUGUUAAGUCUGAGGUGAAAGCCCCGGGCUCAACCUGGGAAGUGCAUUGGAUACUGGCAGACUUGAGUACGGGAGAGGAGAGUGGAAUUCCCAGUGUAGGAGUGAAAUCCGUAGAUAUUGGGAGGAACACCGGUGGCGAAGGCGGCUCUCUGGACGGAUACUGACGCUGAGACGCGAAAGCGUGGG